UACGAAGGGGGCUAGCGUUGCUCGGAAUCACUGGGCGUAAAGCGCACGUAGGCGGAUUGUUAAGUCAGGGGUGAAAUCCUGGAGCUCAACUCCAGAACUGCCUUUGAUACUGGCGAUCUCGAGUCCGGGAGAGGUGAGUGGAACUGCGAGUGUAGAGGUGAAAUUCGUAGAUAUUCGGAAGAACACCAGUGGCGAAGGCGGCUCACUGGACUGGUAUUGACGCUGAGGUGCGAAAGCGUGGGGAGCAAACAGG
rnacentral:rRNA from 1 species